UACGUAGGGGGCAAGCGUUGUCCGGAAUCAUUGGGCGUAAAGAGCGUGUAGGCGGCUCGGUAAGUCCGCUCUGAAAGCCCGGGGCUCAACCCCGGGAGGCGGGCGGAUACUGUCGGGCUAGAGUCCGGAAGAGGCGAGUGGAAUUCCUGGUGUAGCGGUGAAAUGCGCAGAUAUCAGGAGGAACACCAAUGGCGAAGGCAGCUCGCUGGGACCGUAACUGACGCUGAGGAGCGAAAGCAUGGGGAGCGAACAGG
rnacentral:rRNA from 1 species